UUUACUGCAUCAGUUUGAUUGUACAAAUAUAUCCUCUGUUGUUUGUCCUUUGGAUAUUAAUGUCAAACUUCAUGCUGAUUCUGGUGACCUUUUCUGAUUUACUGCACCAGUUUGAUUGUACAAAUGUAUCCUCUAUUGUUUGUCCUUUGGAUAUUAAUGUCAAACUUCAUACUGUUUCUGGUGACCUUUUACCCUCUCCUGAUCAGUAUAGGAGUCUUGUUGGUAAGCUGUUAUUUCUGACUCAUACUAGGCCUGACAUAUGCUUUGCGGUUCAACAUCUGAGUCAAUUCCUAAAAUGCCCCAGACUUCCC
rnacentral:lncRNA from 1 species